CAAUAGCUCAAUUGGCAGAGCACCGGUCUCCAAAACCGGGGGUUGGGGGUUCGACUCCCUCUUGG
rnacentral:tRNA from 1 species